rnacentral:rRNA from 1 species
ACACAUGCAAGUCGAGGGGCAGCAUGGUCUUAGCUUGCUAAGGCCGAUGGCGACCGGCGCACGGGUGAGUAACACGUAUCCAACCUGCCGUCUACUCUUGGACAGCCUUCUGAAAGGAAGAUUAAUACAAGAUGGCAUCAUGAGUCCACAUGUUCACAUGAUUAAAGGUAUUCCGGUAGACGAUGGGGAUGCGUUCCAUUAGAUAGUAGGCGGGGUAACGGCCCACCUAGUCUUCGAUGGAUAGGGGUUCUGAGAGGAAGGUCCCCCACAUUGGAACUGAGACACGGUCCAAACUCCUACGGGAGGCAGCAGUGAGGAAUAUUGGUCAAUGGGCGAGAGCCUGAACCAGCCAAGUAGCGUGAAGGAUGACUGCCCUAUGGGUUGUAAACUUCUUUUAUAAAGGAAUAAAGUCGGGUAUGUAUACCCGUUUGCAUGUACUUUAUGAAUAAGGAUCGGCUAACUCCGUGCCAGCAGCCGCGGUAAUACGGAGGAUCCGAGCGUUAUCCGGAUUUAUUGGGUUUAAAGGGAGCGUAGAUGGAUGUUUAAGUCAGUUGUGAAAGUUUGCGGCUCAACCGUAAAAUUGCAGUUGAUACUGGAUAUCUUGAGUGCAGUUGAGGCAGGCGGAAUUCGUGGUGUAGCGGUGAAAUGCUUAGAUAUCACGAAGAACUCCGAUUGCGAAGGCAGCCUGCUAAGCUGCAACUGACAUUGAGGCUCGAAAG